UACAGAGGGUGCAAGCGUUGUUCGGAAUUACUAGGCGUAAAGCGCGUGUAGGCGGCUUAUUAAGUCAGAUGUGAAAUCCCUUGGCUCAACUGAGGAACUGCAUCUGAAACUGGUAAGCUUGAGUGUCGGAGGGGAUGGUAGAAUUCCUGGUGUAGAGGUGAAAUUCGUAGAUAUCAGGAGGAAUACCUGUGGCGAAGGCGACCAUCUGGAAGACAACUGACGCUGAGACGCGAAAGCGUGGGUAGCAAACAGG
rnacentral:rRNA from 1 species